rnacentral:rRNA from 1 species
GACGAACGCUGGCGGCGUGCCUAAUACAUGCAAGUAGAACGCAGUUUCGAACGGGGGAGUAACGCGUAGGUAACUACCUAUUAGAGGGGGAUAACUAUUUGAAACGCUCGCUAAUACCGCAUACUAGUAGAUGGAUCUGCGGUGUAUUAGCUAGUAGGUAGGGUAAUGGCCUACCUAGGCAACGAUACAUAGCCGACCCGGGAGGGUGAUCGGCCACACUGGGACUGGGACACGGCCCAGACUCCUACGGGAGGCAGCAGGAGGGAAUCUUCGGCAAUGGGGGGAAACCUGACCGAGCAAAGCCGCGGGAGUGAAGAAAGUUUUCGGAUCGUAAAGCUCUGGUGUUAAGGAAGCGGUACUUAACCAGAAAGGGACGGCUAACUACGUGCCAGCAGCCGCGGUAAUAC